rfam:Schistosoma mansoni strain Puerto Rico chromosome 2, complete genome
ACACUGCCGAGGAGUCCCAUAAUAGAACGAAAUGGCCAUCCAGUAC